rnacentral:rRNA from 1 species
UACGAAGGGUGCAAACGUUGCUCGGAAUUAUUGGGCGUAAAGCGCACGUAGGCGGCUUAGCAAGUCGGAAGUGAAAGCCCUCGGCUCAACCAAGGAAGUGCUUUCGAAACUGCUGAGCUUGAGUAGUUAAGAGGAUCGCGGAAUUCCCGGUGUAGAGGUGAAAUUCGUAGAUAUCGGGAGGAACACCAGUGGCGAAGGCGGCGAUCUGGGAACAUACUGACGCUGAGGUGCGAAAGCGUGGGGAGCAACAGG